rnacentral:lncRNA from 1 species
GAUUUACAUUCAUGAGGUGCAACUGCCACCUCUAGCUUUUAAUAUUGGGAGUUCCGUUUUCAAUUUAUGAAAAACAAAGCACUAGGUGUUCAAUCAUUUAGGGGUGCAGCGUGUUUGAAAAGAGAGAAACGGUGAUGUUAAAGAAAUAAGGCAGCCUCCACUUUUACUUGUGUUUAAUUUUUGAAGUUUUUUUUUAGAUGGAAAGGAGUUUUUAAAGAGCAUGCGGGUUACUACGUGACGUGUUAGCCUUCUAUUUUAUUUCAAGAAUUGAAUAUUAGAUUAGAUGGUAGUUUAUGGUGAUAUGACGGUAGGUUAGGAAUUUUCUUUUUUUUUUUGUUUUGUGGGUACACUUUCAUUCCUUACAUGAAGCUUUUAAUUUCAUUUCUCUUUGGAAAAGUUUACCUUUGCCGCACGGUAUGCCACUCAAGCUAUGACUCUUACCCAUAUUCACCAUGUUGUUUAAUGUCUCAA